rnacentral:rRNA from 1 species
AACGAACGCUGGCGGCGUGGAUUAGGCAUGCAAGUCGAACGCGAAAGAGGGAGCAAUCCCUCGAGUAGAGUGGCGAACGGGUGAGUAACGCGUGAAGAACCUGCCUUCAACAGGGGGAUAACACCUCCCAACGGGGUGCUAAUACCGCAUGAGACCACGGGGUCGCAUGGCCCUGAGGUCAAAGGUGGCCUCUAUUUAUAAGCUACCGGUUGAAGAUGGCUUCGCGUCCCAUUAGCAGUUGGCGGUAGUAAAAGACCACCAAGGCGACGAUGGGUAGCUGGUCUGAGAGGAUGGUCAGCCACACUGGGACUGAGAUACGGCCCAGACUCCGUACGGGAGGCAGCAGUCGAGAGG